rnacentral:RNase_P_RNA from 2 species
GCGGAUGGCUGGAUGACCGCGGGGCGCAAGUUCCGAGGAAAGUCCGGACUCCAGAAGGCAAGGGUGCCGGGUAAUCCCCGGCGGGGGCAACCCCAGGGAAAGCGCCACAGAGAAGAGACUUCCCUUGUUCGCAAGGGUAAAGGUGAAACGGUGGGGUAAGAGCCCACCGCGGGACUGGCAACAGGACCGGCACGGCAAGCCCCACCCGGAGCAAUGCCAAAUAGGGGCCUCGCGGCAGUAGGUCCGGGCGCAAGCCAGGGAUACCGCUUGCCAGGGACGCCAUCGCCCGAGAGGCCCGGGUUGGCAGCUUGACCGCCGUGGUAACACGGUUGGCAGAGGAAUGGUCAUCCAGAGGGGGCAACCCCUUGGACAAAAUCCGGCUUACAGGCCAUCCGCGCAC